rnacentral:tRNA from 1 species
GAAUUGAGGUUUCAGAUGGCUACUGAAGAAGAAUUGCAAAUUCUUUAUAUAGGGUUCAAUUCCCUCUCAAUUCU